GCCGGGGUGGCGAAAUUGGCGAGACGCGACGGACUUAAAAUCCGUUGGGAGGCAACUCCCAUGUGGGUUCGAUUCCCACCCCCGGCA
rnacentral:tRNA from 1 species